CGAUCGACUCACAGCGUCUAGCACAUUCUGCGGAUCGAGGCCGACUAGAGCCGAGGUCUGCCGAACUCCCCUCGCAAGCUUAGUGGACUCGCCCGACCCGCUCGAGGUUAGAAGGGGAGGGGGUAACGGUAGAGAAAGAGUAUCGAAGGGGAAGGGAGAAACUCUCAACGGUACGUGCGCCGCACAUGAGAGAGAGAAAGAGAGAAAGCAAAAGGAGGAGAGUGUGAUUGAGUGACCGAGGACGAGAGGGGCAGGGAGAAGAGGGAGAAAAGAGCAAGCGCAAUGGAGGUAGAAAAGAGAGACGGCACGACCAGGAGCGCCGUCCUCGGAACAAGAAAGCUGCCUGCCUGCUUGCCUGCCUGCCGCCUGCCUGCUAGCCAGCCACCCCAAGUUCCCUUCUAGGCAGUUUUUCGUAUGGAUGACUUGCGCUAGGUACCUUCACCGGUGAUUUGUCAAGCAUGUAUGCACGUAGAGAUCCGGUAGACGUGACAUAAAGGGUUAAGACGGAAGACGACACGCACAAGUCUGGUGGGGGUAAGGGAAUUUUACUCCGCGAGUGAGGCUUGUGGACAGCGCUGUCUUAUUCAACGCGAGAGAGACAGAGCGAGAGAGGAAGGUGAAAAAGUGGAAGAUAGAGAGAGAGAGAGAGAGAGAGUAUUGGGCCAGCGAUAUUCGAUAAAUCAAGGUCGAAGGAAGGAAGGAAGGAAGGAAGGAAAGAGGAGAGAAGAAGGCAUCGGGCCGGGAUUCUAUCGUGACGCAGAAAAAUCAAAUUAAACAGCCGCUUUUAAGUCGAAUUAAAACGAAUGCGCUUAAUUAAAGCGGCCUCCGCCGCUCAACUAAAGGAGUUUUAUUGACAGCGACCGACUCUCCUUUGUCGGCCCCACUGUGUACCCUUUCAUUAUUACGUUAAAAGAUGCCCACGACUUUUUUUUUUCUAAUUUUUUUUUUUUAGUUUUUUGCCGCAAAUAACGCUGGAUUUCUCUCUCUCUCUUUUUUCCCUAGUUUUUCUCUCUGUACGAAAUGUUUCUUUUCUUUGUCAUUUUUAGAAGUAUUUUUGUUCUAGCUUUUUUUUUGCGAAAACGUGGAUUCACGACUCUUUUGGCGAAAAGGUAAAAGAAAAAAAAAAA